rnacentral:rRNA from 1 species
UUCCGGUUGAUCCCGCCGGACCUGACUGCUAUCGGAUUGAUACUAAGCCAUGCGAGUCAUUGUAGUGAUACAAGGCAGACGGCGCAGUAACGCGUAGUCAACCUACCCUGUGGACGGGGAUAACCUCGGGAAACUGAGAAUAAUACCCGAUAGAACAUUAUGCCUGGAAUAGUUUAUGUUUCAAAUAAUUUAUUGCCGUAGGAUGGGACUGCGUCCUAUCAGUUUGUUGGUGAGGUAAUGGCCCACCAAGACUAUUACAGGUACGGGCUCUGAGAGGAGUAGCCCGGAGAUGGGUACUGAGACACGGACCCAGGCCCUAUGGGGCGCAGCAGGCGAGAAAACUUUGCAAUGUGCGAAAGCACGACAAGGUUAAUCCGAGUGGUUUCUGCUAAAGGAACCUUUUGUCAGUCCUAGAAACACUGAUGAAUAAGGGGUGGGCAAGUUCUGGUGUCAGCCGCCGCGGUAAAACCAGCACCUCAAGUGGUCAGGAUGAUUAUUGGGCCUAAAGCAUCCGUAGCCUGCUUUGUAAGUUUUCGGUUAAAUCCAUACGCUCAACGUAUGGGCUGCCGGGAAUACUGCAAAGCUAGGGAGUGGGAGAGGUAGACGGUACUCGGUAGGAAGGGGUAAAAUCCUUUGAUCUAUUGAUGACCACCUGUGGCGAAGGCGGUCUACCAGGACACGUCCGACGGUGAGGGAUGAAAGCUGGGGGAGCAAACCGGAUUAGAUACCCGGGUAGUCCCAGCUGUAAACUAUGCAAACUCAGUGAUGCAUUGGCUUGAUGCCAAUGCAGUGCUGCAGGGAAGCCGUUAAGUUUGCCGCCUGGGAAGUACGUACGCAAGUAUGAAACUUAAAGGAAUUGGCGGGGGAGCACCACAAGGGGUGAAGCCUGCGGUUCAAUUGGAGUCAACGCCGGG